UUAUAAUUUAUUGUUCCACGCAUAUUGAGUUCUGUAUAAUUUUUGUUUAUGCAUAAUUUCCCUAAGAAGUGUUCUAAAACUAGGGAGAUGGUUUCUCAAGUGGACCAUGAUCUUGAAUCUUGAUGGAGAAUGGACUAUUGCUAAAAAAACUUACUAAUAUGGCUUUAAUGGUAAUACUUGGAAGUGUUAGCUCUCUUUUAGCUAUUGGAAGGUAGCCAUAUUUUUAGAUGCUCUGAAACAUGCAUCAAUCAUUGGUGGUAUUCAUCUUACUGAGCGGCAACAAGAAGCUGGCUUUUCAAUCAUUAACAUUUUCUUAGUUGAAUGUGUACUAUUACUACACUUGUUUUCUUAAUUGUCUUCGUAGGUGACAAAUGGAAUUGUAUUAUAAGGGAGAUUUUGAGCCAUGGUCCAUCCACUGGGCCAUAGGAUCUAUGGUCUGGAUGACCAAAACAUGGGCUGCAUUUGUAUGAAGGACCUGAGGAUGCUUGUUUAGUAUGGAUGGAGAUUUUGCACCUGUGAUUGAACUUGUGGAGCUUCGGAAGAAGCAUGAAUUUUUAUUGGUCAUUGAUGAUGCCAUUGGGACACUAAUUUGUGGCAAGCAUGGUGAUGGAGUGGCAGAGUAGUUUGAUUGUGAGAAUGAUGUGGAUAUAUGCAUCAGAACUUUGAGUAAGCUGCAGGUUUCCAUGAUGGUUUCAUCGUAUGCAGAUUUCAUGCAUGCUAACUAUUUGAUGAAAUGGCUCAAGGUCCUUUGCCUAGGAAAUGAAGAUGAGUGAACACAAGAGCCUAUCAAAUAGGUGUGUUGAACAAAUGGUAGAGAUCAAGUCUCUUAAAGCACUGAUUGAAAACUUGCAAAAGUAAAAGCAGGAGCUCCGAAUCUUUUUGGAUAUGUAUGGACAAGAUUGCUUUGAAAAGAUGCUUUCUACUAUGAAUUCCAAAGAUGUGAUAGAAAUCAAGGAAUCAGAACAUAGAGCUCAAGUGCAAAUUGAAAUCUUGAAAAGUGUUUUGGAUGAACAUAGUCUAGAGUUGCGAGUGAAGGUUGCGAAUGAGGCUGAGGCAGCUUGCCAACAAAGACUUUCUGCCGUUGAAGCUGAAGUUGUUGAUUUAAGGGAAAAAUUAGAAGCUUCUGAGAGGUUAGCUUUGUAUAUGUAUUUACUUAGUACUUGUAUGUGUAUAUGGAGGUUACUUUUACAUCGUUUCAUAAGCAGGUUAUAUGGAAUAUGUGAAAUAAGGUAAAUUUACUGUUAUGUGUAAUUAUUUCUGACUUUUUACAAUGGAGUCUUGAUCCUAUC